AGAGCAGGUGUGUGAUCUCCCUGUGAUCCGAGAGCAGGGGCAGUUGGUGCAGUGGCCCUGCCCCAGGCCCGGGACACCAGAGAUAAGGAAGGCAGUGAUGCCAACGGAUGCCAGCAGAUCUGCCUGUGGACCAGUGUCCAUGGCAGCUCUCUGCCCAGAGGCCAACCGUGGCAGCCACUUCAACGCCCAUCGACAGAUGAAUGCUGACACAACUGCCCCUUGGACCCGCCCGACAGUGGAGGCUGGUUCUCCGAGGAGGACGACAACCCGUUGCCCGCGUUGCCCAGCCGUAGGCGGAGGACAGGAGACCGGCCGGCAGGCUUACUGACACGCCGACACGCUGGUUUGGCCAUACUGAGAAGAGCUGCGUGGUCAUCGCCACAGCAAACUCAGACCAUCUCCUUCUGUCUUGUGCUCACUGCAUGAGCUCCGCGUCCCCAACCCCAAGAGGCGGGUAUGAAUCCAGUUACUGAGAUGGUACCUCCAUACGGGAGUGGACAGCCUCAUCUUUCUCCUCCAAAGCAGCUGGCAGUUUUGAACCGCUGACCUUGUGGUGAGAAGCCCAACGCAUAACCCACUGUGCCAUCGGGGCUCUGGGUGCAGACGCAGACCCUGAAGUGCCUGGCCAGCAAGCAAGGUGGGUCCACCCACAUGCAGAUACGCCCACCUACGAGUACCCAG